rnacentral:rRNA from 1 species
AUGGCUCAGUGAGGCCUUCGGACUGGCCCAGGGAUGUCGGCAACGACGACCCAGGGCCGGAAAGUUGGUCAAACUCGGUCAUUUAGAGGAAGUAAAAGUCGUAACAAGGUCUCCGUAGGUGAACCUGCGGAGGGAUCAUU